UACGUAGGGCGCAAGCGUUGUCCGGAAUUAUUGGGCGUAAAGAGCUCGUAGGCGGCUUGUCACGUCGGGUGUGAAAGCCCGGGGCUUAACCCCGGGUCUGCAUUCGAUACGGGCAGGCUAGAGUGUGGUAGGGGAGAUCGGAAUUCCUGGUGUAGCGGUGAAAUGCGCAGAUAUCAGGAGGAACACCAACAGCGAAGGCAGAUCUCUGGGACGUUACUGACGCUGAGACGCGAAAGCGUGGGGAGCAAACAGG
rnacentral:rRNA from 1 species